rnacentral:rRNA from 1 species
UACGUAGGGGGCGAGCGUUGUCCGGAGUACUGGGCGUAAAGCGCACGCAGGCGGUCUGCUAAGUUUGGAGUGACAGUUGGUGGCUUAACUGCCAAAGUGCUUCGAAAACUGACAGACUUGAGGGCUUCAGAGGGACACGGAAUUCCAGGUGUAGUGGUGAAAUACGUAGAUAUCUGGAGGAACACCGGUGGCGGAAGGCGGCGAUCUGGCCCAACACUGACACUCAGACCCGAAAGUGCGGGGAUCAAACAGG